GAGGGUGUAGCUCAGUGGUAGAGUGUGUGCUUAGCAUGCACAAGGUCCUGGAUUCAAUCCCCAGUACCUCCU
rnacentral:tRNA from 1 species